rnacentral:lncRNA from 1 species
AGGAGCCUGAGGCUGGGCUUGGGGGCGCUGCGCCGCCCGGGGUUCCGGCCGAGGACCCUAGCAAGGCCCUUCUGGUUCCCAAAGCCUGCGGAAAUCCGGCCUCCUUGGGUGUGCGAGAAGAGCCCACGUAUCUUCGGUUCCUGCGGGAGGAGUCGAAAGACCCAAAAGCUGGAGGCGGUGGCGGCGACUCAGCAGCCUCCCAGAAGUGGGAGCCGGGCCAGGGGCUUCAACGCAGAAACGCAGGACAAGCGGCUGCUGAGGUGGCUUUGGACAUCAGCCUGGCUUUUGAGCUGGACUUCUCUGCUUUCUAACAUCGGGCAAGUUGAUUAAAUUUUCAGAGCCUGCAGUUUCCUUGCCCAAAUUAUAGAGCCAACCCUUUCCCGGAUUACCGAAGGGACUAAGGAGAUAAGGCAGGUAAAAGCGCUUGGCUCUUCGCGGGUGCUCCGGAAACGGCGCAGGGCGCCCCAGGGUGACUUGACUUAGUUUUUCUACGCCCCAGGCGGGAUGAGGCGUUAGGAGGCGGAUCCUACAAACUGCAGGAGACCCACCCUCCCGCCUCUUUCCCAGACGCUUGAUUUCCCGGGAAAGUCGCGUGGCUGCUCUGCUCGCUGAGCGCUUUCCCUCUGCAACGCCUCAAAGGGAGGCUAUUGCGUAUUUAGGUGCCGCGCUUCCCGAGGAGCAGAUUCACAGACUCCCACGGGGGCAGGCGGAGAGAGAGCGGGUCCAGACCUGGGGAGUGGGUGGAGACCCGCGACCCGAGGGAGGGCAACUCAGGGGAGACCCGCCCAGCCCCAGAGGGCCGGCGCCUGGCAGGGUGGGGCCGCUGCAGAGCAGUGGUAACUUACCACUCCUCCCCCGGCACACACACACACCUCUGCACGUGUGCACGGGCACACACUGUCCCUCUGUCUGUCAGACUCUCGGGCUGGGUCUAGGGCUGACCCGUGCGUUCACACGGGGGGCAGUCGUGCUGCAAGUCUACACGUUUACCCCUUCCUUCCUCAAGAUCUCUUCGUUACACACCAGGGCCUGUCCCCAGAUCUCGUCCCUGUGCUGGCCUCCAGUCCAGGGAAAUGCAGAAUCGCAUUCACCUACCUGUUCCCAGGUGGCCACAUGGCCACGCCUUACGGCACACGGACUGGGAGGCAAGUCCCACAGGUUCGUAGAAAAAACACGUAAGGACCUUCGCGGCGUCCUCUGAUUGGUUCACUUGCCGUCAAGGGAAAACCAGCUUCCCUGGGUUGGCACACUUUUUCAGGAGCCAGUCCCGCGAGCUCAAGACGGUUGUACCCUUGAACCCAUCUCAUAUGCAUAGGCUUUGACUUCUCUCCCUUUCCCAUUUCAGGCCAGAAAUUGGGCGCUUUCUGGUCAGGGCAGGGACUGCAUGGUUACUGCCCUGGGGAGGAUUCUGUAGCGAGUUGGGCAGGAGGAGAGGGAGAGGACGGUUUGUUAACCCCACAGAAACCCCAAGUCGACUCUGCGCCCUCAACUCCUGUGCUCGGGGGCAGUGAGGUGCCAACCUUGCGCUGCGCGCAGGGGCGCUGGAUCGCGAAAGCGCCUCGCAUUGGGUUUACAGCGCUGGUGCGACAUCUGCCCGCCUAAUCCGCAUGGGAGAGGCUUCCAGCGCAGAGAAGUGAGGGGGCGGUGGUGCUUAAGGGAUGUUUCUCGAUGAGGGGUCGACCAUUGGAAGGCCUGGGGCCUUCGGUUGCACAAACGGAGCAGUUCAGGGGAGGCCCCCCCCUGCAACUCCUGAGCCUUCUACCCAGGAAUGAGGCUGUCCCUUCCACAUAGCAGUCCAGCUUCCUCGCUUGUCACGGGUGUCACCGCCAGUUCACAGGAGUUCCCAGGACUUCAGUGAGGCCCCGCGCCGCGUGCAAACUUGCAAACGGGCACCUGCUUGGAGCUGCCCCGCGGUGCGCCGGAGACAGCUGAGGGCGUGGGGAAAGCUCUGUUUCCUGCGGGCGGGCCGCCUGAAGCCGGCGUCCAGGCCGAAAUCUCCGCGGAAAGCUCUGCAGGGACGGUUAGUGAGCGACUCCAAAGCGUCCACCCACCCCCACCCCGCCAGCCACAGGGACUGUCGGGGCCCAGCAGCAGGGGACACUCCCGAGGCAGGUUGGAAUUCGCCAGAAUUGCGAAAAGGGUGAGAAACGCGCUCUUAUUUUGAAGCCCAGCCCCAGGGAUCCUCAAUUCAGCAAAUAAACAGGUUCCUGGGGGGAAGGGACAUCUUGCACCGCGGCUCCCUAAAUCUAGUCCUCUGGGGUGUCGAGGGGCGGGUUGGCCGGAAAGAAAAUGCAGCCUGCGUCCGCCUGCUUUGAUCCGACCAGUCGGGAAACUCGAGCCUCCAUCCAGCUCGGACUGCGACUCUGUAGGCCAGGCUGGUGCGGUCCUGACUGCAUGGUCCCCACAGCGGCUGGAUAAUUCGGCAAACCUGGCCCUUUCUUCAGAGGCGGGUCGCUCCGCUCCGCCGUGUGGACCUGAACUCGCCGAGCUGUGAGGGAAUCCGGCCACCCUGCGCUGUCCUGGGCGCCUGAGUGGCGGCGCCCUUGGCCCUGGCAGAGAAGGGCUUGCUUUGUAUGCUCCAGGGACACGUGUCUGAGGCAGCUCAGGCCUCAGCGAGAUCUGCCAUCUGGUUCUCCUGCGGGCUUCUUCCUUUCUUGGGACCUAAGAACCAGCCCGGGCAGGAAAGUGCAAGAGCCCUUCUUUUUCUGCCGGUCCGGACUGUCCCCGCCUCCAGAAAUUGUGGAAAAUGCGCGAUUGUGCAGAGGCUGUAGGGGCUCCGGGCCCUGCCCUGCCCAACCCGGGGACCUUCCGGGCCCUGGAUUCGCUGCUGUGGGUUUCCGGGGGCAGAGACUCACCAGCAGCGCUCAGCCCGCCCCCGACCGGUCACCGUACUGCGCCGGGGAUCCGACCUGCCCAGACGAAGAAAGGACGGAAGCCCUUCUCGCCUACAUGCAGUUCAGAGACGACUUCUCAACCCUAGCUUGCAGAGAAUAGUCUCCUGCCUUGAAUCCUGGAUUUUCCUCAUGCCCAUCAAGGUGGAAGAGAGAGAGCUUUGCUCUAUGACACAUCUGGAGACCCAAGCUAAUGAGGAAGUUGAGCCAUUCUCAAUGGGUACCUUCCAAGUUAUCGGUCCCAGCCUGCAGGAAGGAGAGGGGGCAGCAACUCCAAGAUUCCCAUUUCUCUGACUCCAUGUCUCUUCCCUUAAUUUCACACCCUAAAGCCCAGGGCACAGGAUACCCACCCCGCCUCCCAGAUUGAGCCUCCACUCUCUGGUCGGGGGCAGCAGGAUUUGGGAGGACUCUUCCCCUCUGCCUUUAGCACCUGAGGCAAAGGAGCCAUCUUGAAACUGCCCAACAACUCAGCACCAGAAGACCGGGAGAGGCCGGCAAUCCUGGGUCUUCCCACGCUGCAUCCACAGAGAUCCACAAGAGGGCGCUCUCCGCGCUACACCUGUUCCUAGACUCUCCCACCGGCCUCCCAGAACGCUACUCAAGUGAAGACUGACAAAUGGGGCAGAAAAACGCCGCCCAGAAAGGCUUGGGAAGGGUACACUCCAGAAUGGAGAAGAGUGUGGUCUACAUGAGUCCCAGCAUCCACGCAGAAGCUUGGAGAAGGUCGGUCCUCAGACCAGUUGUCAGCCUCGGGUUUCCAGAGAUAGAAUGGCCGGCGCUCCUUCCACGCCCCACUCACUGUCUCCGCUGAUGCACACACUCCUUCUACAGGGGACGGCUUACUAUCCUUCUCUGUGUCCUCAGGGCCUGGACGAAUGAAUGAGCAAACAAAGUAUAAUACUUAAGAGGCUUUGGUCCAGAUACAUGUGCACAUGUGUGAAAUGAUAUGUGUACAAACAUAUUCAUUGGAACAGUAUUUGUACUCUGAAAAGAUUGGAAAAAACUUAAAUAUUCAUCAAUAGAGGACUUGAAAAAUAAAUUUUUAUAUAUCCAUCAAUGUAAUCAUGUGCAGCCGUGAAAAGAAUGGGAUAGCUCUAAAUACAUUGAUGUGGAGCAAACUCUAAGAUACAUGGUUAGGUGUAAAGAACAAGAUGCAGAACAGGGCCCAUGUUAGGCUCCUCUCCACAUGGACAUAUGUAGGGGGAGAAUACGUAUGUCUGAAUAUGUAUAGAAAAGCUUGGGAAGGACACCCAGGAAAAUUAUAGCUCUGGUUCUCUGGGGAGAGCAACAGAGUGCCUGAGGGAGAGGGUGAAAGGAAGGCUGACUUGUCAC